rnacentral:piRNA from 1 species
UUACAAAUAUUUGAUACAAGGGUUCUGUC